AGGGCAAGUUCCAGACCUGGGUUAGUCUGCCACCGCCACUAAAACAAGUAUCCCUUUUCCUGUGGUUAAAGAAAAUCAUGAACAAAGCUACAUUGCUGGAGGUGUGAGCAUGAAGUGAAGAAGGCGCCUUUCACUGCUUGCAAAAGGGGAUCCACAUUUCUCUUCCACACAAGCUCCUCAGGAAACUGCUUGUUGUCGCUUCUUUCGAGUAUGAAGUUAUGUCUGUAAAGUGAGAUGGACCAGGAAAUCAAACUAUGAAGACAUCCCCAAUGCAAGAUAGUGCUUAGCAGGAAUCCCAGGAAAAAGAAAUUUACUUGAAAAUCCAAAUGAGAGAAAGGUCUCACUCGAGCAGUUUGAAUGUGCCUUUCAAUCGUACUAGUGAGAAUAAACUGGAAACCAAAUCCAAUUAGAGUUGCUCACUUCAAAGAUCCCCUCCAAAAGAUCUGCAGCUGAAGUGUUCCAGGAUUCGGACUGUCCCAAUUGCAAAAAGGAAAGGAGGAUCCAGAACAAGUAUGACACAUUAAUUUUGCAGUCCACAAGAGAUGAGGAGGCCUUGGAGAAAAGGAUAGUGGAACUGGAAGCUGAAAUGAAAGAACACAAAGAACAUAAGCUACCUCUUGGACAAGAGAAUGGAGAGGUCUGCUUUCUUAAGGAUGCUUGCUUGAAGGAAAUAGCAGACCUGAGGGCCUGUGCUGAAUGGGUAUUGCUCAUUGCUUUACCAGCUGUGAUGAUGCUCUCAGAAGUUCCAGUGCCUUCAGAUAUAGAGGUGUUACUGGACUGAGCUCCACAGAGCAGAACUUAUUCAGAAAGAAGGAAAUGCAGCAAGAGCUGUAAGAACUGAUUUUAGUUUGUUUGCUUUUCCUACUUACUACAAAAGGAAAUUGUGUAUCUUUAUAUCCAUUCUAGAAAUUGUUCAGUGGCACGAAACGUGCAUUAAAAGCAUAGCAAGUUAACAGAAGCCCUUCAUGAGAACCAUGUACAUCUGAGAGUAUAGAGGGAUGUGUUUGAAAACAGAGCAAUGAGCUGAAUAAUGC